rnacentral:rRNA from 1 species
UCGAGAAUUUUUGACAAUGGGGGAAACCCUGAUCGAGCGACGCCGCGUGGAGGAUGAAGGUCUUCGGAUUGUAAACUCCUGUCAUUGGGGAACAAGGUGCAUACGUUAACUGCGUGUGCAUUGAUAGUACCCGAAGAGGAAGAGACGGCUAACUCUGUGCCAGCAGCCGCGGUAAUACAGAGGUCUCAAGCGUUGUUCGGAUUCAUUGGGCGUAAAGGGUGCGUAGGCGGCGCGGUAAGUCGGGUGUGAAAUCUCGGAGCUUAACUCCGAAACUGCAUUCGAUACUGCCGUGCUUGAGGACUGGAGAGGAGACUGGAAUUUACGGUGUAGCGGUGAAAUGCGUAGAUAUCGUAAGGAAGACCAGUGGCGAAGGCGGGUCUCUGGACAGUUCCUGACGCUGAGGCACGAAGGCCAGGGGAGCAAACG